CAAAGUAGAGCUUGAUUAGUUAAGCGUCUUGUUUACACCAAGGGGAAGUUGUGCAAUUCAAUAUAUUUUGA
rnacentral:tRNA from 1 species